rnacentral:rRNA from 1 species
ACGGAAGGCAGCAGUAGGGAAUCUUCGGCAAUGGGGGCAACCCUGACCGAGCAACGCCGCGUGAGUGAAGAAGGUUUUCGGAUCGUAAGGCUCUGUUGUAAGAGAAGAACGUGUGUGAGAGUGGAACGUUCACAAAGUGACGGUAACUUACCAGAAAGGGACGGCUAACUACGUGCCAGCAGCCGCGGUAAUACGUAGGUCCCGAGCGUUGUCCGGAUUUAUUGGGCGUAAAGCGAGCGCAGGCGGUUUAAUAAGUCUGAAGUUAAAGGCAGUGGCUUAACCAUUGUUCACUUUGGAAACUGUUAGACUUGAGUGCAGAAGGGGAGAGUGGAAUUCCAUGUGUAGCGGUGAAAUGCGUAGAUAUAUGGAUGAACACCGGUGGCGAAAGCGGCUCUCUGGUCUGUAACUGACGCUGAGGCUCUAAAGCGUGGGGAGCAAACAGGAUUAGAUACCCUGGUA